rnacentral:rRNA from 1 species
GAUGAACGCUAGCGGCAGGCUUAAUACAUGCAAGUCGUGGGGCAGCAUGAAGUAGCAAUACUUUGAUGGCGACCGGCAAACGGGUGCGGAACACGUACACAACCUUCCUUUUAGUGGGGAAUAGCCCAGAGAAAUUCGGAUUAAUACCCCGUAACAUAGCGAUGAGGCAUCUCAUUGCUAUUAUAGCUUCGGCGCUAGAUGAUGGGUGUGCGUAUGAUUAGAUAGUUGGCGAGGUAACGGCUCACCAAGUCUACGAUCAUUAGCUGAUGUGAGAGCAUGAUCAGCCACCCGGGCACUGAGACACGGGCCCGACUCCUACGGGAGGCAGCAGUAAGGAAUAUUGGUCAAUGGACGAAAGUCUGAACCAGCCAUGCCGCGUGAAGGAUUAAGGUCCUCUGGAUUGUAAACUUCUUUUAUAUGGGACGAAAAAAGGUCUUUCUAGAUCACUUGACGGUACCAUAUGAAUAAGCACCGGCUAACUCCGUGCCAGCCGCCGCAGUAAAAC